rnacentral:misc_RNA from 1 species
AAACAAGAAAAUACUAAUCAAAUACUAAUGAGGAAUCCAAACCAACAAAAUGUUAUAAACAAAUAAAAUGCUGCUUCCUAUAUUUCAUCCUAGAAUAGGUAGUUCUAAAAUCCCUAGAAAAUGUUGCAUCAGCUAGGGUUACAAGAAGCCAUCGGCAAGUUGAAACAUGCAAGUCCAUUCUCACAUAGAUUAAAUACAUUUAACAAAAUGAAAAUCAUAUUUAAAAGAUAAUAAUGAGCAAAUCAAAGUCCCUUUUUUUCAUUUUUGGAAUAUCAAAAGAAAUUUUAUCAUGGUUGAUACAAAAUAUUUCUUCAAGUUAUCACCACAUAUCACUACAAUGUAGCAAAAUUCAAAUGUAUAACUGAAAUGAAAAUUUAGUGUAAAGACAAUAGAAGCUAAUAUACAAGAUAUGAAGGCACCUGAUGCAAAUGGUGUUGAA